rnacentral:sRNA from 1 species
AGUCGCCGCAGUCACGGAGCGCACGUCGGGAAACCUCUCAGCCUCAUCUGUAAAAUGUGAUCAUAAAUACCGGGUACCUGGAAGUGCUCGAGACAGAUCUCACUAUGUUGACAAACUCCUGGCCUCAAGCAGUCCUCCUGCAGCAACUUCACAGCGACACUGGAAUGACAGAAGAACUCCACUGAACAUUCAUUGAAGGCCCAGAUUUAGAGUGAGCGGGGCAAACCAAGUUUUGUGCUGGGUGGAAGGAGGGGCGGCUGCUGUUCAGCCCACAGGACUCCUGUGAGGACACCACAUGUUCAUAGUUGUUAAACCAUCUUGCAAACUCAUUGCCUGAUGUUCAGAUCUCCCGGCUCAGCUGGUGUCUGUGGAGGAGAGGAUUUAUGCCUCAGAGAGGGCAUGAGCCCAGAUGAUGCCUCAAGACUCAGGUUCUAGGAGAGAAAGCAGUGCUUCAGGGACUUCGACUGCCCCCGCCCGAAAUGCAGUCGCCAUCUGCAGGUAAACAGAGCUGGAGCUGGUGCUGCCGAAAAAGAAAGAGGAGGGCUCUCCGGCAGCCUGCGGCUUCCUCAAGGACUUCCCAGGCCGGGCACGGUGGCUCAUGCCUGUAAUCCCAGCACUUUGGGAGGCCGAGGCGGGCGGAUCAUGAGGUCAGGAGAUCGAGACCAUCCUGGCUAACACAGUGAAACCCCAUCUCUACUAAAAAUACAAAAAUUAGCCGGGCGUAGUGGUGGGAGCCUGUAGUCCCAGCUACUCGGGAGGCUGAGGCAGGAGAAUGGCGUGAACCCAGGAGGCGGAGCUUGCAGUGAGCCGAGAUUGCGCCACUGCACUCCAGCCUGGGUGACAGAGUGAGACUCCGUCUCAAAAAAAAAA